CAUUAGAGUUUGAUCCUGGCUCAGAAUGAACGCUGGCGGCGUGCCUAACACAUGCACCUCGAGCGAGAAAGCUCCUUCGGGAGUGAGUACAGCGGCGGACGGGUGAGUAACACGUAAGAAUCUGCCCUAUAGUGAGGAAUACCCUUGAGAAAUUGAGGUUAAUACUGCGUAAGUCCCUGCGGGGAGAAAGGCGUCUUUUAUGUCGCCGCUAUAGGAUGAGCUUGCGGACUAUCAGCUUGUUGGUGAGGUAAAGGCUCACCAAGGCUAUGACGGUUAACCGGCCUGAGAGGGUGUACGGUCACAUAGGCACUGAGAUACGGGCCUGACUCCUACGGGAGGCAGCAGUGGGGAAUAUUGCGCAAUGGGCGAAAGCCUGACGCAGCGACGCCGCGUGGAGGAUGAAGGUCUUAAGAUUGUAAACUCCUGUCAGAUGGGACGAAAGGUUCAUGUUUAAUAAACGUGGAAUAUGACGGUACCAUCAGAGGAAGCACCGGCUAACUUCGUGCCAGCAGCCGCGGUAAUACGAAAGGUGCGAGCGUUAUUCGGAAUCACUGGGCGUAAAGGGUGCGUAGACGGUAUGUUAAGUUUGUUGUUAAGGCUCCGGCCUAACUGAAGUAUUGCCAUGAAAACUGGCGUGCUAAAGGGUGAAAAAGAGAAAUGGAAUUCCCGGAUUACCGGUAAAAUGCGUGGAUCCCGGGAGGAACACCAAUUGGCAAAGGAGCCUUUUUGGCUCAUUCCUGACGUUUAGGCCCAAAACCGGGGGAACCACCACGAUUAAAUCCCUGGUUAUCCCCCCCCGAACCGAUAUUCCUAAAAGGUGGUUCCCCCUACCUGGAUAGUCGCCUAACCUCAU
rnacentral:rRNA from 1 species